ACAAAAAUAAAACCCAUCCCUUCUCCCUCACGCACGAAACCCUCUCCCCCAAAUUUUCCUCCUGCCGGUCACGACCCCCCUUCGUCGCACGAGCCAAACCCAUCUCGCCGUCGCCUUCCUCACUGCCCAAACCCAUCUUGCCGUCGUCUCCAUCACUGUCGGUUACGACCUCUUUCGAUGCCGCCUCCCUUGCUGCCCAAACCCAUCUUGCCGCCGUCUCCCUCACUGUCGAUCACAACCUCUCUUACUGCCGCCUCCCUCACUACCGAAACCCGACGUCGCACCGCUCGCCCAGCCGGAGAGUCGCCAUUGGAGUCGCACCGCUCACCUAGCUGGAGAGCCGUCUGAGUUGCGGCCGCUCCUAGCCACGAAUGCCGCCGCCGCUCCAGCCCCCUAACCACCGCGCGCCACCGCCGAUCAAACCUUCUGACUGCCGCGUGCUGCACCGUCUUCUAGCAGCUUGACUCUUAGAUUUUGAUUUGAGCUUGGGAAAUCACAGCAGCGACUGUCCAGAGGAUUCAAGACCAUUCGUCAAGAGUUUUGGUAAGAGUUAUGGUCCUUAUUGUUGGUUUGUGGGCACGCUUUGAUUACUGAAUUAAGUUGACUUAACCCUUGUAUCUUUAAGGUUCCAAGCUGUCGUCCAUUGAGAGUUAAAAUUUGUUGGAAGGAGAUUUUGGAGUGGUUGUUAAUCAAGUUCCUUGGGGUCGUUUCUUCAAAUCACGGUCAUCGUUUGGUUGUUGGAGUUUAUCUGUGGAAUUUUGAUUAAGGUAAGGGUAGAGAUGCACCAGCGAUGGCGCAGCGGAAUUCGUGAUCGUGCCAUUGGGACUA